rnacentral:misc_RNA from 1 species
ACGCUAGGAUCCGCGCUCCCUCGCAGCCAGCGACAUGUGCCCGAUGUGACCGUGCGUGGCUCAGUCUCCCGACUAGCUUCCCGGUAAAAUGCGGGCUCGGCGCGCAGGUCGCGCCAGUGAAGGUAAAAGUACGUGUCCGUAGCGUGAAGCCAGCGGCGACGCGCAGUGCUAACGCAACCAAGCAGUAUUGGUGGCUCGAUAAAAGUCUCGCACUGGCCCAGCCCUCGGAACGGGCGACGGGUCUGCAAAACGCAGUCGGCUCGAUGCAAAUCGAGAGAUUUCCCGGCGACGCCGUGUUUACGGUGAAGGGGGAAAUGUGAGCGGUCCGAUGUGAAAAAAUCCGGGAAUGCCGGGAUCCGUUCUCUCGCUAGAGCGUUGUCUCCCGUCCCGCGAUGUGUUGUGGAAAAACGUCUCGCUAACGAUAGC